rnacentral:rRNA from 1 species
CCAAUAGCGUAUAUUAAAGUUGUUGCAGUUAAAAAGCUCGUAGUUGAAUUUCGGGAUCAGACUGUCGGUCGUGCCUCGGUACGCACUGGCAUUAUUGGUUCCUACCUUCUGAAGAACCGCGAUGUCAUUAAUUUGGUGUCGUGGGGAAUCAGGACUGUUACUUUGAAAAAAUUAGAGUGUUUAAAGCAGGCUUACGCUUGAAUACAUUAGCAUGGAAUAAUGAAAUAGGACGUUUGAUUCUAUUUUGUUGGUUUCUAGGAUCGACGUAAUGAUUAAUAGGGAUAGUUGGGGGCAUUAGUAUUCAAUUGUCAGAGGUGAAAUUCUUGGAUUUAUUGAAGACUAACUACUGCGAAAGCAUUUGCCAAGGAUGUUUUCAUUAAUCAAGAACGAAAGUUAGGGGAUCGAAGACGAUCAGAUACCGUCGUAGUCUUAACCAUAAACUAUGCCGACUAGGGAUCGGAUGAUGUUAAUUUUAUAAUGACUCAUUCGGCGCCUUACG